rnacentral:rRNA from 1 species
AUGGACGCAAGUCUGAUGGAGCAACGCCGCGUGAGUGAAGAAGGGUUUCGGCUCGUAAAGCUCUGUUGGUAGUGAAGAAAGAUAGAGGUAGUAACUGGCCUUUAUUUGACGGUAAUUACUUAGAAAGUCACGGCUAACUACGUGCCAGCAGCCGCGGUAAUACGUAGGUGGCAAGCGUUGUCCGGAUUUAUUGGGCGUAAAGCGAGUGCAGGCGGUUCAAUAAGUCUGAUGUGAAAGCCUUCGGCUCAACCGGAGAAUUGCAUCAGAAACUGUUGAACUUGAGUGCAGAAGAGGAGAGUGGAACUCCAUGUGUAGCGGUGGAAUGCGUAGAUAUAUGGAAGAACACCAGUGGCGAAGGCGGCUCUCUGGUCUGCAACUGACGCUGAGGCUCGAAAGCAUGGGUAGCGAACAGGAUUAGAUACCCUGGUAGUCCAUGCCGUAAACGAUGAGUGCUAAGUGUUGGGAGGUUUCCGCCUCUCAGUGCUGCAGCUAACGCAUUAAGCACUCCGCCUGGGGAGUACGACCGCAAGGUUGAAACUCAAAGGAAUUGACGGGGGCCCGCACAAGCGGUGGAGCAUGUGGUUUAAUUCGAAGCCACGCGAAGAACCUUACCAGGUCUUGACAUCCAGUGCAAACCUAAGAGAUUAGGAGUU